rnacentral:rRNA from 1 species
UACUCACUCUGGCGGCGUGCUUAACACAUGCAAGUCGAACGGAAAGGCCCUGCUUUUGUGGGGUGCUCGAGUGGCGAACGGGUGAGUAACACGUGAGUAACCUGCCCUUGACUUUGGGAUAACUUCAGGAAACUGGGGCUAAUACCGGAUAGGAGCUCCUGCUGCAUGGUGGGGGUUGGAAAGUUUCGGCGGUUGGGGAUGGACUCGCGGCUUAUCAGCUUGUUGGUGGGGUAGUGGCUUACCAAGGCUUUGACGGGUAGCCGGCCUGAGAGGGUGACCGGCCACAUUGGGACUGAGAUACGGCCCAGACUCCUACGGGAGGCAGCAGUGGGGAAUAUUGCACAAUGGGCGGAAGCCUGAUGCAGCAACGCCGCGUGCGGGAUGACGGCCUUCGGGUUGUAAACCGCUUUCGCCUGUGACGAAGCGUGAGUGACGGUAAUGGGUAAAGAAGCACCGGCUAACUACGUG